GAUGAACGCUGGCGGCGUGCCUAAUACAUGCAAGUCGAGCGAACGGACGAGAAGCUUGCUUCUCUGAUGUUAGCGGCGGACGGGUGAGUAACACGUGGAUAACCUACCUAUAAGACUGGGAUAACUUCGGGAAACCGUAGCUAAUACCGGAUAAUAUUUUGAACCGCAUGGUUCAAAAGUGAAAGACGGUCUUGAUGUCACUUAUAGAUGGAUCCGCGCUGCAUUAGCUAGUUGGUAAGGUAACGGCUUACCAAGGCAACGAUGCAUAGCCGACCUGAGAGGGUGAUCGGCCACACUGGAACUGAGACACGGUCCAGACUCCUACGGGAGGCAGCAGUAGGGAAUCUUCCGCAAUGGGCGAAAGCCUGACGGAGCAACGCCGCGUGAGUGAUGAAGGUCUUCGGAUCGUAAAACUCUGUUAUUAGGGAAGAACAUAUGUGUAAGUAACUGUGCACAUCUUGACGGUACCUAAUCAGAAAGCCACGGCUAACUACGUG
rnacentral:rRNA from 1 species